GAUUUCCUAGGCGAGUUAGCCAUGAAUUGGACGAGUCUGUGAUCUUAGGAGCUAACCGGGAGAGAAAUGUCUCGACACUUAGCCACUAAAUCUUGAUUUUGGUAUAAGCACAGCUUGGCAAUAGAUGACGUGAGAGCUGACCAUGGUUGAGUUUAGUUGUCCCCAUGCUUGAGGGCAAGUAUGAUUCAGACUCAACUUCAGGGAUUGGAGCAGAAAACUACAAAAAAGGAGGGACUUGCUCCAUAAGUGGGAGACUUCAAAAAAGAAAAAAAGCUCCAUGGACCUGGCCCACAAAGAGAGGAAGAAAUGGAUUUCCUUUUGCUCUUGGCCGAGAGUCCUACUAGCAAGAGGAAACAAGAGAAAAUUGGGGGAGCCUCACUUUUAGACUUUUGCUCUCAAAUUCGGCAGGGCCCAUCUUUUGUACUUAGCUUUCUCAAUUCGGUGGGGGACCACGGACGAGUGGAGCAUUAGUCACUUUUGGCUUUUAAGGACAAGCGUACAGAGGCUUGGGAGCUUAGUUCUUUUUAGCAUAGUUUUUAGUUUUCUUUCUGUCCUUGUCAGGCGCAUGCCUACUGUUCGACAAUAUUCCUCAACGGGAAAAACAUCUUUUAUUUCUCGCUUCCUAGUGAAAACUUGAUGCAUUUGCAAUCAAUUAAUUUGCGUAGAGAUUUAAUUA